UUUGUUCCUGCGUGUGAAGGUUUGGUUCAGGAGUUCACUCGUCUCCCGUCAGUUCACGUUCUUCAGCCAGCGAGUUAAUUACCAUCACUGGAAAGACAGCCAGACAACGGUUAACACAUGACUCUGCAGCGUGGAAUUAUGGGAGUGUUGAGCUCUGUUCCAAAACACAAUGAGCUGUCUACCUAGACGACGAUUUUACGCCCUAACGACACAAAAACUGGUCCUGCAGCAGGCUCCCCCUCCUUCCAGCCUCCUUCUCUUCACUGUUGGCUUUAUCAAGGUCAUCUCUGCUGCUGCUCCCAUCUGCUCUGCAGCAACAGCGCCUCCGUCUGGACCAACACAGGUAUUUCAUUUAUGAGCUUGCUCAAUGUGAUUUUUUUUUUUUUUUUUAUGUUUCACAGUGUAUUUGUUUUUUCAUGAGUGGUCUCACAAUAAUUUUUUUGUUUUUUUCUGUACCAAAAUCACAUUUUCUUUAUCUUAAUUUGAUCGUGUAUCUUUUUGCUGGACAAAACAAGAAUAUAAGUAACCAUAAGGCCAGAAACAUAUUCUAUUAAAAAAAUCAUUUCUGAAGAUUAUUGACAAGA
ensembl:lncRNA